GAUGAAGAACGCAGCGAAAUGCGAUAAGUAAUGCGAAUUGCAGAAUUCAGUGAAUCAUCGAAUCUUUGAACGCACAUUGCGCCCGCUAGUAUUCUGGCGGGCAUGCCUGUCUGAGCGUCAUUUCAACCCUCGCCCCCGGCUUUUGCUGGGAGCGGUGUUGGGGAUCGGCCGCCCGUCACUGGGAGGCCGGCCCCGAAAUAGAGUGGCGACCACGCCGUGUGCUCCUCUGCGUAGUAGUAAAUCACCUCGCAGGCGGACAGCGGUGCGGCCUGCCGUAAAACCCCCAACUCUUUCUGGUUGACCUCAGAUCAGGUAGGAAUACCCGCUGAACUUAAGCAUAUUAAUAAGCGGAGGA
rnacentral:misc_RNA from 1 species